rnacentral:rRNA from 1 species
UACGUAGGGACCUAGCGUUGUCCGGAAUCAUUGGGCGUAAAGCGCGCGUAGGCGACCCGGUAAGUCCGUUGUAAAAGUCGAAGGCUCAACCUUCGAAAGCCGAUGGAUACUGCCGGGCUAGAGUACGGAAGAGGCGAGUAGAAUUCCUGGUGUAGCGGUGGAAUGCGCAGAUAUCAGGGGGAAUACCCAUAGCGAAGGCAGCUCGCUGGGACGUUACUGACGCUGAGGCGCGAAAGCGUGGGGAGCGAACAGG